UACGUAGGGUGCAAGCGUUAAUCGGAAUUACUGGGCGUAAAGCGUGCGCAGGCGGUUGUGCAAGACCGAUGUGAAAGCCCCGGGCUUAACCUGGGAAUGGCAUUGGUGACUGCACGGCUAGAGUGUGUCAGAGGGGGGUAGAAUUCCACGUGUAGCAGUGAAAUGCGUAGAGAUGUGGAGGAAUACCGAUGGCGAAGGCAGCCCCCUGGGAUAACACUGACGCUCAUGCACGAAAGCGUGGGGAGCAAACAAG
rnacentral:rRNA from 1 species